rnacentral:tRNA from 1 species
UGUUGGGUGGUGUAAUGGUUGAGCAUCUCAGUCUUUGACCCUGAUGGUGCAGGUUCGAAUCCUGCCCCGGCAA